UGGGGAAUAUUGCGCAAUGGGGGGAACCCUGACGCAGCCAUGCCGCGUGAAUGAAGAAGGCCUUAGGGUUGUAAAGUUCUUUCGGUAUUGAGGAAGGUUGAUGUGUUAAUAGCACAUCAAAUUGACGUUAAAUACAGAAGAAGCACCGGCUAACUCCGUGCCAGCAGCCGCGGUAAUACGGAGGGUGCGAGCGUUAAUCGGAAUAACUGGGCGUAAAGGGCACGCAGGCGGUUAUUUAAGUGAGGUGUGAAAGCCCCGGGCUUAACCUGGGAAUUGCAUUUCAGACUGGGUAACUAGAGUACUUUAGGGAGGGGUAGAAUUCCACGUGUAGCGGUGAAAUGCGUAGAGAUGUGGAGGAAUACCGAAGGCGAAGGCAGCCCCUUGGGAAUGUACUGACGCUCAUGUGCGAAAGNGNGGGGGAGCAAACAGGAUUAGAUACCCUGGUAGUCCACGCUGUAAACGCUGUCGAUUUGGGGGUUGGGGUCUAACUCUGGCGCCCGUAGCUAACGUGAUAAAUCGACCGCCUGGGGAGUACGGCCGCAAGGUUA
rnacentral:rRNA from 1 species